rnacentral:rRNA from 1 species
CUUAAGAACUAAUAUAACCCGACAAUAUUAAUAACAAAACAGGACCCAACAUUAUUAACUAAACCAUUUUUUUACCUGAGUAUGGGAGACAGAAAAGGUUAAACCCAAAGCAAUAGAAAAAGUACCGCAAGGGAAAGCUGAAAGAGAAAUGAAACAAUUCAUAUAAGCGCCAGAAACAAGACUAAACCUU